CGCGAAGAACCUUACCUAAGCUUGACAUCCUUUUGACCUCUCCCUAAUCGGAGAUUUCCCUUCGGGGACAGAAGUGACAGGUGGUGCAUGGUUGUCGUCAGCUCGUGUCGUGAGAUGUUGGGUUAAGUCCCGCAACGAGCGCAACCCUUGCCUUUAGUUGCCAGCAUUAAGUUGGGCACUCUAGAGGGACUGCCAGGGAUAACCUGGAGGAAGGUGGGGAUGACGUCAAAUCAUCAUGCCCCUUAUGCUUAGGGCUACACACGUGCUACAAUGGGUGGUACAGAGGACAGCCAAGUCGUGAGGCGGAGCUAAUCCCUUAAAGCCAUUCUCAGUUCGGAUUGUAGGCUGAAACUCGCCUACAUGAAGCUGGAGUUACUAGUAAUCGCAGAUCAGAAUGCUGCGGUGAAUGCGUUCCCGGGUCUUGUACACACC
rnacentral:rRNA from 1 species